CACAUUUAAUUUCGCAAGAAAACUUAAGUGUAACUUGGCGUGAAAGGAUCCACACUUUCACCCAUUUUUAAAAUUGCUCUCUCCAGCUCACUUUUUUUUUCGGGAACCCUUCCUUCUUUCCUCUGCUGAGGGGACAUCUGAAGCCAUUAUUUCCAAAAUAAUUGUCACUACAACCCCCUGACAUCUGGACCUGAGAAAGGUAAAAGUUACUUUUGGCUUGAGGAAUGUUGUAUAAGCCAAGAAAAUGUUUCAAGGAGAGUGGGAAGGACUAGGAAUUUGUCCAAAAGUGUGAAAAGCUAAGGGUUGAGGGGCUAUUUCCUGUAUACUCAUCAAUAUGUCAUAGUCUUGUAGUCAGAAUUUAUGUAUCUUGACUCCAACAUCAGCACUCUCAUAAAUGACUUCACAUUAACAAAAUAUAUAAUAUAUGCAAGUGUGUGUGUGUGUGUGUGUGUGUGUGUGUGUGUGUGUGUGUAGAGGGAGAGAUAGGAGAUAAAUGUGAAUAAUGCCAGAAAGUCUAAAGUUACCUCAUCUUUAUUUAUCUGUUUAUUCCCAACGACAUUUGCCUAUCCUUAACAUUUUUCACUAUAUACCAGGUUGACACCUCAAAAGUGAAGAGACAGUUAAAUCCACCAGUUAAGAAGCUUAUCUGUUUGUCCAACCCUGGGCAAAAUACAUGUGAAACAAAUGAAACUGCAUAAACCCAUCCCUGGGGGAGCUUAAAAUCUUCAAACAGCAACCACACUUCUCAGGGAAUUCUGGAGUGCUGGAUUUACACUCAAUUUCCCUAGGAAUAGACACUGUUUUCUCUUUUAUUCCAUGCAAAGAAAUUACAAAAUAUAUUUAUCUAAAAGUGGCACUUAUAUACUGGAUUCUUCUUAUGCCUUCGAAUGUUAAAAAGCAGUAUUUAUGCUGCAUGUAAACCCAGCUGUUUCAAGUAAAUGCAGUACUACAGGAAAAUGUGCUAUUCCUGAGAGCUGAACUUCUUGUCAAACCACAGUGAAUGCUCCUAGUUCCAGAGAUUCAUCAUUAAGAAGAAUCAUUCCUGGAAAGAUGGAAAGUCUUAGAAAACCCUAAAAACAGGUCAUGUACCCACACCUUGGAUGCAAAGGAGCUGGGGAAAGCAAGCAUCUGGAAUUUUCAGUUUCUGUAACUUUAGGGAAGCUCUGCCUCCCAUGAAGACUCAAGAGGAUGGGAAUUUCUCAAACUGAAGAGGAGCAUUCAGAUGCAAACAGCCCGAGUAAUGACAAUGUAAUACUACAAAGUUUUACCCAUAAUGACUAAAAUGUCUAUCAAACUAAUAAGCUAUCACUUGAUCUUACUGGAAGUUUCUAGAAGUGUCUCAAUACCGGAAUAAUUUUUUACUACUUCUUACCUUCUCUAACAACUGAGAGCUAAAUGCUUCCUAAUAUUUGGAAAGAAUUGCAUUACAGGGUAUGUAGCUCAAUGAUUUGAGAAAUUUAAUACUAGAAAAAGUUAAUUUUCUCCUUUGAAAAUGAAAUCAUAUAAUUCACCUAGAUAGUAGUUUUGUAUGUGGGCUUUAGAAUCUGCCUGGCUUAUCUGCUUUCCCACCUGUGUCCUUGGACAAGUGAAUUGUCUCUGCCCCAGUUUCCUCUCUGCCUCAGUUUCCUCAUCUGUAAAAUGUGGUGAUGAUGCCUAUGAUGAAAAGAUGAUGUAAGGAUUAUGCGAGAUACUACAAGAGUUUAAAACAAUAUGUGGGACCUAGAGAGAGCUCAAUAAAUGUUCUGUUUUAUCAGAACAUAUAUGCAGUGUUGCAACAUGAAGCCUCUUUUUAACAAUCUUACUGUAAUUUCCAUAGUUUACCUUGAUUCUGUUUCAUUUCAUUAAUGGGUGACCUUCAACUAUAUGGAAAGGCCAAUCAUCUGAUACUUUUGCUAUAACGAGAGAAAAGAGAAGAGACUAUUUUAUCCUUUAAGAAAGGUAAGUGUAGACCAUUCCACUUAUAGUGAAAGUAAUGGUUUUAUAACAAUGAUUUUUUUUUUAGACAGGAUCUUGCUCUGUUGCCCAGGUUAAGUGCAGUGGUAUGAUCAUAGCUUAUUGCAGCCCCAGCCACCACCUGUGCUCAAACAGUCCUCCCCGUCAGCCUCCUGAGUAGCUGGGACUACAAGCAUGUACCAUCAUGCCUGAUAAUUUUUUUUUUGGUAGAGAAAAGAUCUCACUAUGUUGCCCAGGUUGGUCUCGAACUCCUAGCCUUAAGCAAUCCUCCCACCUCAGCCUCCCAGAUCACCUGGACUAGAGGCCUAAGCCACCAUGCCCAGCCCAUUAACAAUGCUUUUUUUUUCACAAAGUUACAGGCAAAAGGCAAGGAAGAUAUCUUUCUAAAGAUUAGGUUGGACAAAAUAAUGUAUAACAUUAGCUGUACCUGCUCUCAGUAUAAAUUUUACCCUCUAGAUUGCUAAUUGACAUGGUAUAGAAACAUCUCAACAUCAGUCUCAAUGUGAAAUACCUUUGAUGACACCUCAUACUUUGUAUUCUCCUACAGAGUAAGCUCCUUGAGGGCCAAGUUCAUGUGCUCCAUAAAAAUCAAUCUAAAUGAAAAGCCGUAAUAUAAGGACUGGAUGAUAGCACAUGCCUAGUAGUAUACAGAGUAUUUUUCAUAACAGAGAACAUACAGGACUUAGUCAACAUCUACAUAGAGGUUGUUUUCUAGGAAUCAAAUGAAAGCCUAGGUCAUUGUCACCAUUUGAUUGUUCAUUAUAUGUGUACUAAAUUUCUUAUCUGAGCCAGGCACUGAGGGCUAUGCCAGGAUAAAUGAGACCUGAUCCUGCCUUUCAGAGUUUACAGACUAAGGGAAGACUAAUCAAAUAUACCAAAUAUUUAUAUUUCAUAUUUGUAAUAACAAGUUAAAAAGUGAUUACUGCUCCAAAAUAUUUAAGUAAAAUAUUUUAAGAGGUAAGAGGAGAGAUAAAUUAUUCCUACUAAACGCAUUUUAAGGAAAAAAAAAAUGACGAUCUCUCUUGUCCAUAGGAAAGCAACUUUUAAUCAUACUGUCAUUACUUUCUGUCUUAUUUUUUUCCAAAUGAAACAGAAAAAUUUUCUUUAGAAAUUAGGAAACAUAAUUGUUUUAGCAAAUUAGGUUUCAUGUAUUAGAUCUUUUUUUUUUUUUUUUUUUUGAGAUGGAGUCUCACUCUGUCGCCCAGGCUGGAGUACAGUGGGGUAAUCUCGGCUCACUACACUCUCUGCCUCCUGGGCUCAAGCUUAAAACUUACAACAUCUCAAGCAAUUCUCAUUUCUUAUACCUCAGCCUCCCUAGCAAUUGCAAUUGGGACUACAGGCGUGCACCACUGCACCCAGCUAAUUUUUGUAUUUUUAAUAUAGAUGAGGUUUCUCCAUGUUGGCCAGGCUGGUCUUGAACUCCUGGCCUCCAGUAAUCCAUCAACUUUGGCCUCCCAAAAUGCUGAGAUUACAGGCAUGAGCCACAGGGCCCAGCUUAUGUACUAGAUCACAAGAAAAUUUGUAUUUACUAUUUAUUAUGGUAAUUAGUGAACUUAUCCAAAAAAAUAUACUCCCCAGCCUCAAAAAAUAUAUUCUUGGUAUACAGGCUUAUAUUUUCCAGAUUAGAAAAUAGGUCCACUGUGCAAGCAAUGGGGUCCCAAGGCUAAAUGUUGAAGGUUUUUGGCACCAUGAUAUACCUUUCAUUCAAAGAUCAGGCAUACCAUUUAGAAAAGAAACAGCACCUUCAGUAUUCUAUAAAGAUCAGUAUGUAUGACAUUGAAAGAAACACACAAGUUCAAAGCUUGAAUUCCAUGUAGGGGGAAAAAAACCCAAACACUUUUCACCUUGUUUUUAGAAAGAAAUAUUAGUUUGUACAGAUCAAUUUUAAGAAAAACAAAAUCUGAAAUGUGAUAGAAAAAAGAGACAGUGUUAGAUCAGUAUGGUGACUAUGGUUUAUAAUAAUAUAUACUGCAAAAUAGCUAGAAGAGAAGAAUUUGAAUGGUUCUAGUAUAAAAAGAAGAUAAAUCUUUAAGGUGAUGGAAAUCUCAGGUACACUGAUUUGAUCUUUACAAGGUUUAUGAAUGUAUU
rnacentral:lncRNA from 1 species